rnacentral:rRNA from 1 species
UAGGUUUGAUCCUGACUUAGAAUAAACGCUUUAAAUGAGUUAACAACGAUUGCCAAAUUAAACUUUAUAUGUAAUUUGAAUUAAUUAUUAUAAUUUUAGUUAGUGUAGAGGUGAGUAAUAGAUAAAAUUAAUUUUUAUAAAUUUAUAAGAAUAAAAUAAAAACAUUAACAUGUUUCAAUAAUAAUUCUUAUUUUAUGCUUUAGUAUAUUUAAAAAUUUUGUUUAUAAUUUAAUUUUAUUUUUUGAUUAGCUAAUUAAUAUUUUAAUUAAAUAUUAAGGCGAAGAUCAAUAGCUGAUUUGAGAAAAUGUAAGCCACAUUAGAACUGAGACAAAGUCUAAACCUUGAUAAAGGGUGAGCUGGAGGGAAGUGUUGGCAAUUAGCGAAAGCUAGACCACGUUACAUUCAGUGGAGGUAGACAUAAAUUGUAAACUUCUGUGUAUAAUUCGUUUAAUAAGUGAUUAGUUGGAUUAUAAGAAAAUAUCGGCAAACUCUGUGCAAGCAGCCGCGGUUAUACAGAGGAUAUUAGUGUUAUUCGCUAUUAUUGGGCGUAAAGCAUUCUUAGACGGAUUUAUGUAUUAAGUGAAAAAUUUAAAAAUGUAAUUUUUAAACAUUUAUUUAAAAUUAUAAAUCUUGAGUGUAGCAAUAAGUUUAAGGAAUUUUAUGAGUAAUAGUGAAAUAUUAAGAUACAUAAAGGAAGGCCAAGAAUGAAAAUAUUAAGCUGUGCUAUUUCUGACGUUUAAGUAAUGAAAGCUAAAGUAGCAAAUGGGAUUUGGUACCCCAGUAGUUUUAGCUGUAAACUAUGAAUAUUAAAAACAUUUAAUUUAAAAAUUUUUUGUUUUAAAGCUAACGCGUUAAAUAUUCCGCCUGAAUAUUACGUUCGCAAGAAUGAAAUUUAAAGGAACUGACGGGAGCUUAUAUAAGUGAUGGGUCAUGUUUUAUAAAAUAGAUGAAACCCUAAGAAUCUUACCAAAAUUUAAAAUGAUUAAUUGAUUAUUUUUAUAUAAUAAUUUAAUUUAUUUAUAGGUGUUGCAUGGUUGUCGUAAGCUAGUGCUGUGAAGUGUCAAAUUAAGUUUUGUAACUAGCGCAACCCUUUUUAUUUAUUUUUUAUUUUUUAUAUAAGUAUUUUUAUGAGUAUAUAAUAAAAAUAGGAAGAAAAGGACGACGUCAAAUCCUCAUAACCCCUGUAUUUUGGGCUUAGAACGUGACACAAUGAUAAAUACAAUAUAAAUAUAAAUAAAUUUUUUAAUAAAUUUUUAUUAUAUUUUUAAAAUUUAUCUAAGUACUAAGUAUAAACUGUAAUUUGUUUAUACUAAUUGGUAGUAACCACUAGUAAUCGUUAGUCAUCUAUAUAACGGUGAAUUUUUAAUAAGCUUUGUACACACCGCCCGUCAAGUCCUGAAAUUUAAUAAUUUAUAAGUUAUUUAUAUGAUAAUAAAAAAUAUAUUAAAAAUUGGGACUAAGUCGUAACAAGGUAGCCGUACCUGAAGGUGCGGCUG